UACAGAGGUCUCGAGCGUUAGGCGGAAUCACUGGGCUUAAAGCGUGUGUAGGCGGAUCGUUAAGUGCCUUGUGAAAUCCCACGGCUCAACCGUGGAACUGCUUGGCAUACUGGCGGUCUUGAGCAACCUAGGGGCGAGCGGAACAAAUGGUGGAGCGGUGAAAUGCUUAGAUAUGACAUAGAACACCAAUUGCGAAGGCAGCUUACUACACAGUAAUUGACACUGAGGCACGAAAGCGUGGGGAUCAAACAGG
rnacentral:rRNA from 1 species